AGUGAACGCUGGCGGUAGGCCUAACACAUGCAAGUCGAACGGCAGCACAGUAAGAGCUUGCUCUUACGGGUGGCGAGUGGCGGACGGGUGAGGAAUACAUCGGAAUCUACUUUUUCGUGGGGGAUAACGUAGGGAAACUUACGCUAAUACCGCAUACGACCUACGGGUGAAAGCAGGGGAUCUUCGGACCUUGCGCGAUUGAAUGAGCCGAUGUCGGAUUAGCUAGUUGGCGGGGUAAAGGCCCACCAAGGCGACGAUCCGUAGCUGGUCUGAGAGGAUGAUCAGCCACACUGGAACUGAGACACGGUCCAGACUCCUACGGGAGGCAGCAGUGGGGAAUAUUGGACAAUGGGCGCAAGCCUGAUCCAGCCAUACCGCGUGGGUAAAGAAGGCCUUCGGGUUGUAAAGCCCUUUUGUUGGGAAAGAAAAGCAGCAGGUUAAUACCCCGCUGUUCUGACGGUACCCAAAGAAUAAGCACCGGCGAACUUCG
rnacentral:rRNA from 1 species